GUCCACGCCCUAAACGAUGGAUACUAGUCGUUGGAACUCCUAAUUGUUUCAGUGACGUAGCUAACGCGCUAAGUAUCCCGCCUGGGGAUUACGAUCGCAAGAUUAAAACUCAAAGGAAUUGACGGGGGCCCGCACAAGCGGUGGAGCAUGUGGUUUAAUUCGAUGCUACGCGAAAAACCUUACCUAGGCUUGACAUCCCGGGCUACCUUGGGAAACCAAGGGUUCCCUUCGGGGACUCGGAGACAGGUGCUGCAUGGCUGUCGU
rnacentral:rRNA from 1 species